UUAGGAAUCUUCCGCAAUGGACGGAAGUCUGACGGAGCGACGCCGCUUGGAGGAGGAAGCCCUUCGGGGUGUAAAAUCCUGAACCCGGGACGAAAGCCCUGUGGAGGGGGAUGACGGUACCGGGGUAAUAGCACCGGCCAACUCCGUGCCAGCAGCCGCGGUAAUACGGAGGGUGCGAGCGUUACCCGGAUUUACUGGGCGUAAAGGGCGUGUAGGCGGUUUGGGGCGUCCCAUGUGAAAGACCACGGCUCAACCGUGGGGGAGCGUGGGAUACGCUCAAGCUAGACGGCGGGAGGGGGUGGUGGAAUUCCCGGAGUAGCGGUGAAAUGCGCAGAUACCGGGAGGAACGCCGAUGGCGAAGGCAGCCACCUGGCUCGUUCGUGACGCUGAGGCGCGAAAGCGUGGGGAGCAAACCGGAUUAGAUACCCGGGUAGUCCACGCCCUAAACGAUGCGCGCUAGGUCUCUGGGUUGUGCUGGGGGCCGAAGCCAACGCGUUAAGCGCGCCGCCUGGGAGA
rnacentral:rRNA from 1 species